UAGUGGACAAAUGAUUGGAUGCAGUAUGAGCAGCCACCUAUAACCUCUGAAGCUAUGCUUUCUCUGCUACAGUGGACUGGAGCUUUUCAAACCACAAUUCAAGGCAAUCCCUUCCAUCCUGAGUUGUUUCUUGCCAGCUACUUUGAUGGCGGAAAUGAGAAAAUUCGGUGAUCCAAAUGGGCACAGAACUUCUCUCCAGGAUGAAGAGGUCUCCAGACGGACAGUAAUGACAACUACAUACCAGUGUGUGUAUACUUACUGCCAAGAAACAGUACCCCAAAAGGUGUUUAAGGAAUCAGUUCUGUUAUGCAUAUUUUAUCACAAUUUAAAAAGUUUCCUUCUUACCAAAAGCAAUCAGACAGCUAAAGGAUCUGUAUCUUGAACAAUUCAGGUUGGAAGAUGGCAGCUACCUAUUUCAAACUCUCCUAGGCAUCUCUGUGGAGAUGCCCUUCCAGCAAGAUUCCAGAGUUCAGACAAUGUCAGUGAGCAACCGAGGACUUAUGACAAUCACCUUGAAUGCCUUCUGGAUGCAGAUUCUCCAAGCCCAUCGAUACUGAAUUGGCAUAGCCUGUCAGCAUGUUUACUGCAGCUUCAGGAGAAACCCAGGGCCUCCUGGGUAAGGCAGUACUCCUGGACUUCUGACCAUCAGAAACCAUGAGGCAAUGCCUUUAAAACCGCAAAGUCAUAUGUUGUAAUAGAUGUGAAUAUAAGUACAAAUGACUUCACAAAUUCACACUAAUGGUAAAUAACAAAACCACAACAAUACAGAAGGACUAUAGUUGUCAAGAAUAAACUUCUUCCUGUACAACCAUUAGGGAAGUAUUAGCUGAUGGGGUAAAGAAAAAUGUCUGCGUUCUCAUCCUGUGUGUAUUCCUCUUUUGCAUGUUUAGCUCUUGUAACAUAUGGCUACCCUCUCUCAGCUUUCAUGUGGCUUCCUUUCCUACAUUGCUUUGUGUGGGGAUGGUUAUCUUUAUAGAAUGGCAGAAUGUUUGUUGUUCUCUCUGUUGUGGUGAUUCAAAUGCAUAGGGGUCCAUGCUUCAACCUUAUACAGGGAUUUCCAAGUCUUGUGGCCAAACAGAAACUAGGAAGUUCACAAAACAACAUCUGCUACCUAUCUCUUCUCUCUUCCUGAGCUUCCUAUCUACCUUUAUCACCGUGAUGGUGAGAUCCUUGCAUGCUUCUGAGGAGCUUACAACAGGAGUGAUCACAACCAGAAAACCAUAUCGGCACUCACCAAUGUCUGAUACAGUCUGUGUCAGAACCUGCCUAUAAAUAGCAUGUGGCAGGUAAGGGCUGGAGAUCUGGUCAACCCAGAAAUAGUAUUACCUGUCUGAGGAAUCAUUUAGCUGUGGUGGAAUAUCUCAAGCAACUGGUAAAACAUUGUACUACAUCAUGUCUUGAGAGAGAUGUGAGACGGGAGACAGAAAACUUUAGAACACCUGUGCAAUAAAAUGUCUAAAAUGAAGUAAGACAUGCAUGUUGUGCUCUGGAAAGACACAUCAGUUAGUGACUAGUAAACACUGAAUAUGGCUACUCCUGUGGUUUAGUUGGGGUCACAUCCUUUAUGUUUGUUUGGGUUUUUGUUUUGUUUUGUCUUUCUAGAUAGUGUUUCUCUGUAUAGCUCUGGCUGUCCUGGAACUCACUCUGUAGACCAGGCUGGUCUUGAACUUAAAGAUUCACGUGCCUCUGCCUCCUGAGUGCUGGGAUUAAAGGCAUGCACCACCACUGCCCAGCUGGGAUCAGAUUUUUAAGGUAAGACAUCAGAAGGGCUUGGUAUGUGGCAGGAUUUCCUAUGUUUGUGACUAUGCACUUCAUCAAUUGUAUCUUGGAAAUGUGUCGUACACAUAAGAAACUCAUUCUAUGCUGGCACCUCACCUUGUUAUGGAUUUUCAAUGCUGUAUAAAGGAAGAGCUUAUAGAUCAAGGUAUAAGAUCUUCUGUCCUUUGUUUUUUUAAGGUCUCUCUGGGCUUCCAUUGUGUCAUGUUUAAAAUGGGGUCAUUCUACCCAAGAUGUCUAGAUACGACCAGGUGAUCCAUUGGAUUGUCUUCCAACAUUAAAGCCUAUAAUUCUGUGGGCUGAGUCUUGAUGUCCACAGGGUCCCACCAGGAUGUUCCCAAGGAACCAUACUCAGGUCACUACAGAACAAAUGAAGCAGGGCUUCCAUGCCCACAUUCCACAUCCAACCAACAA
rnacentral:lncRNA from 1 species